GCCUACGGGGCGCAGCAGUGAGGAAUAUUGGUCAAUGGGCGCGAGCCUGAACCAGCCAAGUCGCGUGAGGGAAGACGGUCCUAUGGAUUAUAAACCUCUUUUAUCGGGGAGCAAAAGACGCCACGUGUGGCGUUCCGAGAGUACCCGAAGAAAAAGCAUCGGCUAACUCCGUGCCAGCAGCCGCGGUAAUACGGAGGAUGCGAGCGUUAUCCGGAUUUAUUGGGUUUAAAGGGUGCGCAGGCGGAAGAUCAAGUCAGCGGUAAAAUUGAGAGGCUCAACCUCUUCGAGCCGUGGAAACUGGUUUU
rnacentral:rRNA from 1 species